rnacentral:rRNA from 1 species
GAUGAACGCUGGCGGCGUGCCUAAUACAUGCAAGUCGAGCGAACGGACGAGAAGCUUGCUUCUCUGAUGUUAGCGGCGAACGGGUGAGUAACACGUGGAUAACCUACCUAUAAGACUGGGAUAACUUCGGGAAGCCGGAGCUAAUACCGGAUAAUAUUUUGAACCGCAUGGUUCAAAAGUGAAAGACGGUCUUGCUGUCACUUAUAGAUGGAUCCGCGCUGCAUUAGCUAGUUGGUAAGGUAACGGCUUACCAAGGCAACGAUGCAUAGCCGACCUGAGAGGGUGAUCGGCCACACUGGAACUGAGACACGGUCCAGACUCCUACGGGAGGCAGCAGUAGGGAAUCUUCCGCAAUGGGCGAAAGCCUGACGGAGCAACGCCGCGUGAGUGAUGAAGGUCUUCGGAUCGUAAAACUCUGUUAUUAGGGAAGAACAUAUGUGUAAGUAACUGUGCACAUCUUGACGGUACCUAAUCAGAAAGCCACGGCUAACUAUGUG